AUUUCUGGGCCGCCGCGGCGGGUCACGUGGCCCGGCCGGCUCCUCCCGGCGCCGGGUCCAGCCCCGGCCGCCCACUCCCUGCGACGCCCGGCGUCAGCCUCGCCCGCGGCCCGGCCUGGGGACCCUGGAGACCCUGGCGCCCCUCCGGCCCUCGGAGCUGCCCAGCCGCGGGCGGGUAGACGGACCACAGGCGGGACCGCGACGCCCCGCACCGCAGUCGGGCUUGGAGCCCACGCGCAGGCCACCAGGAAGGACCCUGGGCUCCGCAGAAGCCAGGCCACUGAGAACAGGGACGGCCGCGAAGACGGGUUUCAUCAUCUCCCAAGACGCUGUACCACCUACAGGAUGACACCCAAGCUCCUCAGCCUCUCCAAACUAGCCUCUCCAUGCACCUGGUGAAGCCUGUGGUUCUUCAAGCCCCGCUCAGAUUUCACCUCCUGAUAAAGUCCUCCCAGGCCCCGUAUCCACUCUUAUAACUCACUCAGCCUGAACUCAAAUAAAGUAAUUAGCAACAAAUCAGGGCUAACAUACCCACAAA